AGAAGGUUUUCGGAUCGUAAAGCUCUGUUGUAAGAGAAGAACUAAUGUGAGAGUGGAAAGUUCACACUGUGACGGUAUCUUACCAGAAAGGGACGGCUAACUACGUGCCAGCAGCCGCGGUAAUACGUAGGUCCCGAGCGUUGUCCGGAUUUAUUGGGCGUAAAGCGAGCGCAGGCGGUUAGAUAAGUCUGAAGUUAAAGGCUGUGGCUUAACCAUAGUACGCUUUGGAAACUGUUUAACUUGAGUGCAARAGGGGAGAGUGGAAUUCCAUGUGUAGCGGUG
rnacentral:rRNA from 1 species